rnacentral:lncRNA from 1 species
GCCGGGCGCCGAGGGCCUCCCAUACAGGUGCAGGCGCACUUCAUCAGCACCACACCCGGGCGGGAGGCAGCUGCACCUGCACUGUCAUGGACACAACCCAGGACACAGAGAGGAAUUUUUGGUUGCCUCUGAAAGUGGAUUCCUGUUUCUAAAGUCAGCAGCAUGCUUUGUGUCCUUGCCUCUAACUGAGCCUCAGACUCGCCCACCGCUGCGUCAGGACCUUCUGCUUGCAGAUGCAGCUGCCGGUCGGCCUGGGAAGAGGGGCAGCGCCUCGCUUCCGGGACCAUGCAUGCACGGGUGGCCUCGAACCCAUGGGGCGGAGUUCAGGGCUCUGAGUGCUGGACAACGCCCGCUUCUCCCUGACCUUGCCGCUGAGUGGAAACGCCCUGAGCCAGAUGAAUCUGUCUUGACCCUCCCUGCGCGUCCUGUCACUCAGCUCACCUACUGCUCCGCAGGGGCACGUGCCGAGGCCACUGUAGAGGACCAGCUUCCUCCAGCCCCCCCAGACCUAAGUGUGUCCCUCCUGGCUGGGAGCCAAAGAGAGAUGUCUGUCUGUGCCUGCAGGAGCUCAGAAACGCCACAGGAGCUGGGCAGGGAUCCCUCAUAGAAACCUGAUGGAACAAAGGAUUUAUUUUUAUGAGUUAAACCUGGGUCGCGGGAGCUGUUUGCUCACUGCCUGUGAAAUGUGGACGUCGUGACUUGAGGAAAACCAGCCUUUGGUUAGUGAAACAAGCCCUGCACCGAGGCCUGUGGCUGGUGACUGUGCUGGGUCGAGCAGCUUGUCACAAACACAGUAGUGCCCUCCCGGAGGCUAAAAAUAGCUCCGGUCUUCCUGGAGACUGAACAGCCCGGCCUGUUUGCCCUGCGUGGCACCAGCCCGCCCUCCCGGCUGCACACAGCGAAUGAGAUCGGCCAGCCAGCCUCCACCUGAUGGCCCACGCAGGAAGCUCAUGCGUGCUGCCCGCGGUCCACACCGCGCCCUGGGCCAGUGUGGCCAAGCAGGGCCAGCUCUCGGGCUGCAGGAUGGAGCUGACUCAGGUGGCGCUGUGCACCCUGCCCAUGUCUCCUC